GGUCACGGGUUUUUAAUAACCUGAGCUGCAGCAAGAGAAGGGUACCAGGAAGGAUCCAUCCAUCCCCUCUCAUCCAUGAUGCCAGCCCUCAGGAACAAAAAGAUUUAUUUCUUCACACCUGAUGUGUGUUUACUCCAAUUCUACCUCACUGAGGCAGAAAUCAUCCAACACCAGCUGGAAUACAACUCACUGCUGAACUGGGAAGUGGCUCUGAAAUGACCAGGGAGUUUAGGACAGGAAAUGAACGAUGCUAUUAUGCCCAAUUUCAACUUCACAGCAAUUUUGGGAGGCAGAAUGUCAAUAUCUAGUCCACAGCUGGGCCCUUGGGCUGUCAAGCCUGAAGCUGAAAGCACCCUGAGUCCUACCAUCUGUUAUGGCCCAGCAGCAGCACUCAGUGCCACGGUAUCUGAGCAUCUAAUGGCUACAAGGUAAAUGUGAAAUGCUCUCGUACCUUUAUCGAUUUGUCCUCGUGCUCUCUGCUGACUACUCCACUCCCUCAGCUCAGACCAAGUCUUGCCGUGUGUUCUGGCUGGAGCUGAACACUGGUGAUAAGUGAUGGGCAGUAACAGCAUCAGCACUACGUUACAGUCACGAUCUUUCGCUGUUGUAUAUAUGCUCUUAAACUCUGAGCUCUUUGUGGGUGGUUAUUGCAGAUCCCACUUAUUUGAAAGCUUCCCAGCUGCACUUGUAAGGAAACACAGAGCACAGCUGAUCUGUGAGAGGAAAGGAAUACAGGAUCCACCCAAUGGCCCAGAAUCCUGCAAUAAAUGGAGAUUGAUUCUUAACUCAAACAAGCAUUGAGCUAAUGAAUUAAAUCGUGUGGUCCUGGGUGUUUUUGAGACUGUAUACAUCUGCUAUCUAAAGGGGAAAAUGAAUGAGAUUUGCUCCUUUAAUGUAACCUGGAAGGUUUGCUAUCCCAUGGGCCGUAGGUUUGACAGUUGUAAAUGUUUUAGUGUUCCUUCACUCUUUCCCUUCAGGCAAUAAAUCUGUUCCUGCUCUUUGGAACA
rnacentral:lncRNA from 1 species